CUGUGUUCAAUCGUUGCCAAAUUAAAUUAGCAACAAUGUGCUGAAAAAAAGUGUGAAUGAAAUUACAUAUUUCUUCUUGUUUUAUUGCAAAGUGCUCUUAAGUGGGGUCAACCAAAAAAAUAAAGAAAAAAGAGAAAAAGAAAAGGCAAAAAAUUGCCAAUGUUGAAAAGUGAAAUUCUGUCAAAGCAAUUAAAUUUCCCAAAAUAAAGUCGAAACAUCUGUUCUUUGUUGUUUGUUUCCUACGAAAAUCGCGCAAAGUGUAUGGCAACAGCAGCAACAACAAAGUUGUGCAUAACAGAAUGUUAAGCGUACGAAAAAUGGAAAUGUUUUUGUGUGCAGCUGAAAUGUUGCCAACGCAUGUUGCUGACCGCCAGAUGGCGCACGCCAUUAUCGCUGCCCAUAGGUGGCGGCAACAGCAGCGCCAUAAGCACGAUCGCCUACGCUUAGAUGCGGACAGAUGGCGCCACUCUAACUACUGCACCACAUUUUGCACAACUCGGUCACAUAAGCGACGCAGGUGGAGACAGAGCCGGAGUCGAGGCAUCUGAGACAAGCGCAACAACAAUUAUUCAACAUCAGGAUACAAAAUACACCUUAAAGUACACAGAAAUCCAGUGGCUUAAUAGCAUUCAUAUUGCCAUAUACAAAUAAAUAAAUAAAUAUAUAUAUAUUUAUAUAUAUAUAUAUAUGUAGUGAUUAUGUUAACUAGAUGCCAUUGAGAAUUUUAGAUCGGCACUAGAAACAUUGAACUCCUUUUUGGACUCUUUGUUGUUGCUCAACAGUGGCAUUUGGAAGCAAAACUUUUUGUACCUGUUGUGUUUUGCGCACGCAAAAGUAAACUUUAAUAAGAUACCUGAGAAUACACUUUAUAUUGCAACAUACAUAUAUACAUAUAUUUAUUUAACAUACAAAAGAAG
rnacentral:sRNA from 1 species